ACGGGUGAGUAACGCGUGAGAAUCUGCCCUCAGGAGGGGGAUAACAGCUGGAAACGGCUGCUAAUACCCCAUAUGCCGCGAGGUGAAAUGAAUUUCGCCUGAGGAUGAGCUCGCGUCUGAUUAGCUAGUUGGUGUAGGUAAUGGCUCACCAAGGCAUCGAUCAGUAGCUGGUCUGAGAGGAUGAUCAGCCACACUGGGACUGAGACACGGCCCAGACUCCUACGGGAGGCAGCAGUGGGGAAUUUUCCGCAAUGGGCGAAAGCCUGACGGAGCAACGCCGCGUGAGGGAUGAAGGCCUCUGGGCUGUAAACCUCUUUUAUCAAGGAAGAAGAU
rnacentral:rRNA from 1 species